rnacentral:rRNA from 1 species
CCUACGGGGGGCUGCAGUGGGGAAUAUUGGACAAUGGGGGGAACCCUGAUCCAGCCAUGCCGCGUGUGUGAAGAAGGCCCUCGGGUUGUAAAGCACUUUCAGUGAGGAAGAACGCCUGGUGGUUAAUACCCAUCAGGAAAGACAUCACUCACAGAAGAAGCACCGGCUAACUCCGUGCCAGCAGCCGCGGUAAUACGGAGGGUGCGAGCGUUAAUCGGAAUUACUGGGCGUAAAGCGCGCGUAGGUGGCUUGAUAAGCCGGUUGUGAAAGCCCCGGGCUCAACCUGGGAACGGCAUCCGGAACUGUCAAGCUAGAGUGCAGGAGAGGAAGGUAGAAAUGCCGGUGUAGCGGUGAAAUGCGUAGAGAUCGGGAGGAAUACCAGUGGCGAAGGCGGCCUUCUGGACUGACACUGACACUGAGGUGCGAAAGCGUGGGUAGCAAACAGGAUUAGAUACCCCAGUAGUC